AGAGUUUGAUCCUGGCUCAGGACGAACGCUGGCGGCGUGCUUAACACAUGCAAGUCGAACGGAGCCCAACCGGUGGCAACACCGGGGAAGGCUUAGCGGCGAACGGGUGCGUAACACGUGAGCAACCUGUCCUGGAGACCGGGAUAACACCGGGAAACCGGUGCUAAUACCGGAUAACCCCACCGAAUCGCAUGGUUUGGUGAGGAAAUGGAUUCCGCUCCGGGAGGGGCUCGCGGCCUAUCAGCUUGUUGGUUAGGUAACGGCUCACCAAGGCUUCGACGGGUAGCUGGUCUGAGAGGACGACCAGCCACACUGGGACUGAGACACGGCCCAGACUCCUACGGGAGGCAGCAGUGGGGAAUCUUGCGCAAUGGGCGAAAGCCUGACGCAGCAACGCCGCGUGGGGGAUGAAGGCUCUCGGGUUGUAAACCCCUUUCAGCAGGGACGAAAAUGACGGUACCUGCAGAAGAAGCCCCGGCCAACUACGUGCCAGCAGCCGCGGUAAUACGUAGGGGGCGAGCGUUGUCCGGAAUUAUUGGGCGUAAAGAGCUCGUAGGCGGCUUGGCAAGUCGGGUGUGAAACCUCCAGGCUCAACCUGGAGACGCCACCCGAUACUGCCAUGGCUAGAGUCCGGUAGGGGACCACGGAAUUCCUGGUGUAGCGGUGAAAUGCGCAGAUAUCAGGAGGAACACCGGUGGCGAAGGCGGUGGCCUGGGCCGGCACUGACGCUGAGGAGCGAAAGCGUGGGGAGCGAACAGGAUUAGAUACCCUGGUAGUCC
rnacentral:rRNA from 1 species